rnacentral:rRNA from 1 species
UACGGGAGGCAGCAGUGGGGAAUAUUGCACAAUGGGCGAAAGCCUGAUGCAGCUAUGCCGCGUGUAUGAAGAAGGCCUUAGGGUUGUAAAGUACUUUCAUCGGGGAGGAAAAACAAAACUAAUAAUUUUAUUUCUUGACGUUACCCGAAAAAGAAGCACCGGCUAACUCCGUGCCAGCAGCCGCGGUAAUACGGAGGGUGCUAGCGUUAAUCAGAAUUACUGGGCGUAAAGAGCACGUAGGUGGUUUUUUUAAGUCAGAUGUGAAAUCCCUGGGCUUAACCUAGGAACUGCAUUUUGAAACUGAAAUACUAGAGUAUCGUAGAGGGAGGUAGAAUUCUAGGUGUAGCGGUGAAAUGCGUAGAUAUCUGGAGGAAUACCUGUGGCGAAAGCGGCCUCCUAAACGAAUACUGACACUGAGGUGCGAAAGCGUGGGGAGCAAACAGGAUUAGA